GGAGUUUUACAGUGAGUCUAGGACAAGGCCCUCUUCACUGCUGGAAGUAGACACUCUUUCUGUGAGGUGCAGUGAUUCUGCUUCACCAGCAGGAAGAGAAUAAAUCCCCAAAGCCACAAAAGUCUGCAGGAGACUCUUCUAGCUAGCUCUCCCAACUUUAUGGGGUGCACCUGCUCCACUUCAGUGAGUAAAUAGGGUCCAAGAGGCAACUGCCUACCUGGGAUGGUGAUAUCUAGAGAUAUCAGACUGCCUGGAAUAAAAACUAGGAGUGAUGUGAUGUUGAGUUCAUGGACAAUUUAUGCCAAUGUGCUUCCUGCUUUGUACUGACAUUAAGGCCAUAGCAAGAAGAG